rnacentral:rRNA from 1 species
UACAGGGGGUGCAAACGUUGCUCGGAAUCAUUGGGCGUAAAGCGCACGUAGGCGGUUUGUUAUGUCGGAUGUGAAAGCCCUUGGCUCAACUGAGGAAGUGCAUCCGAAACUGGCAAGCUAGAGUACUAAAGAGGGUCGCGGAAUUCCCGGUGUAGAGGUGAAAUUCGUAGAUAUCGGGAGGAACACCAGUGGCGAAGGCGGCGAUCUGGGAAGAUACUGACGCUGAGGUGCGAAAGCGUGGGGAGCAAACAGG